CAUGGUUACAAACUGCUUUUAUUAGUAAGACAUGUAAGUUAUGCACAUAUUUAUAUUUGGUAAAAUUGUUCAUGUUGGUAUGAUAUAUUGCAUGAGUUCUGAUAUUAUUUAAGUUUGUACCAUAGUUUUCAUAUAGUUAGAAUAGCGACCAUGUAGGAUUAUGUUGUUUACCAUUUUCUUGUUAUAAAGUGUCGUAACGUAGUUUUUCAGUGUGCAUAACCAAAAAAAAUAAAGUUUUUAGAAGAUGCUGUGAAGUCUGCGUAGGUGUGGAUUGUAACAAGUUUUUGCACGUGUUAAAUAUAGCGAUAGUGUGAUAACAUUUAUUAACGUAUAUUUUUAAACAUCCAGUCGGUAGUGUAACGGGUGUGACGCCCCUCCCCGUCUUGGAGGUUGCUUGGCCAACCUCAGCAGGCAGUUGGGUGACAAGGGAGGGUCGACAGCCUGAUUGGGAUCACCUGGACCUUCCACACUAUAAAAGCUGCUCCAUGUGCUCACUGUCUCUCUCUCUUCCUACAGCCACAUCCACCUGGCAGCACCUUCAACUCCCUUUUUGUCACAUUCCCUGAGCCAGUAUGUGACAAGGGGCGAGUGCCGGGUGAACUUGGAUGGAAAUCACCUGCUGUGAGUCAGGCUGCUGUUGAGGAAAAAUCCUUCAAAGUCGGCCGCUCCUUGAAUUUAAAGCAGCAGUGAGUUCUCCUCCUCCAGGAACCUGUACUCCAGAGGACGAGGCGGCAAGGUGGCUUGAACUCCCAGCUCGUAGUGAGCACCUCCUCCACUCACAUCGAAGCGCAGCCCCUCCAGCCGCCGCCUCUUCAACU